AGCAAGUUUAUCGAGUCGGGACUGGAAAUAAUCAAAAAUAAGAAGCCUGCGUGUACCUGCCAUUUUUCCACCUGAGGUAAAAUCUGAGGUGUGGACUGAAACCACUGCAGCACGAGACAGGGGUGGAAAAAGAGCCCUUAACGCAGUCUGGCACAAAACAUCAGACUGUCAGCAGUUUAAGGGUUCAAAAUAUUUUUUGUUCAGUUGAGUUUAAAGUACCCUUUCUAAUCUGAAAUCUAUCAAACAAUUUUUAAUGAAUUUAACAUUUAAGACUUUACAUCUAAGAUUUUUAAGGUUGAGUUAAAUAUUCUGUGUUAAGGAUCAGAAAAUGAUAAUAAAUUUGAUAUUGAACAUCCAUGUGUUUUUCAUUUUCAGAAUUCACCUAUUAUGUUUAUGAUGUACAGGCAAAUAUAAAGUA